rnacentral:rRNA from 1 species
CCCUUAGAUGUUCUGGGCUGCACGCGCGCUACACUGAUGAAUUCAACGAGCUCCUAACCUAGGCCGAAGGGUCCGGGUAAUCUUUGAAAUUUCAUCGUGAUGGGGAUAGAUUAUUGCAAUUAUUAAUCUUCAACGAGGAAUUCCUAGUAAGCGCGAGUCAUCAGCUCGCGUUGAUUACGUCCCUGCCCUUUGUACACACCGCCCGUCGCUCCUACCGAUUGAAUGGUCCGGUGAAAUGUUCGGAUCGCGGCAAAUCGGACGGGUAACCGUCAGGUUCGCUGCGAGAAGUUCAUUAAACCUUAUCAUUUAGAGGAAGGAGAAGUCGUAACA